AGGCACCAGGGAUCACCAGCGCACCUGGAUUGCAUGUUUGACCAAUUGCAGACUGAAGACAUUGAACAAAGAAUCCCAUGUCCAUGAGAAGGAAAAGGUGACUGCUUCCUAGAGCAGGGAAUGAGAUAUGAAAGACUUGAAGCUUCUGUCACAGCAAUUCAUCGUCACAGUCUGGGAUGAUGAGCCCCGGGCAGCCUGCGCGUAUCUGUGGGAAGACCAGUGUUUGUUGUGCCUAUCACUUACUCCGGCAAGCUGACCCUGGACUAACACAUCAACUAAGGCCGACUGGAAGGAGGAUCAGUGAAAUUCCUAUGGAUCAUAACAGUCCACACCACACCGGAGCACCUGACUGACCCUGGUACAGGAUCUGGAAGAUUUUUGUGCUGUUUUGGAUAGGAUCAUCACUGAUCUUAAUUGGUAGGCUUCCUAUGGUUUCUGAAGCCAUAAAGCCCUUUAGGGAGCAGGGGAAGAAAUAGAAAAGCCCCUUCCUUACUCAGUGUCUAACUUGGUCCUCUGGGCCCCAGUCCCCUGAGACUCUCUGGAAGGACAGGUGCAUCUCUCCUGUGCACAA